rnacentral:rRNA from 1 species
UACGUAGGGUGCAAGCGUUAAUCGGAAUUACUGGGCGUAAAGCGUGCGCAGGCGGUUAUGUAAGACAGUUGUGAAAUCCCCGGGCUCAACCUGGGAACUGCAUCUGUGACUGCAUAGCUAGAGUACGGUAGAGGGGGAUGGAAUUCCGCGUGUAGCAGUGAAAUGCGUAGAUAUCGGAAGGAACAUCAGUGGCGAAAGCGACUUCCUGGACCAGUACCGGACGUUCAGGCACGAAAGCGUGGGGAGCAAACAGGA